GUAGCCGCAUCACAUAUACUAUAAAUUGUGCGGAUUAACAAUUUAGUCUGCUAAAGUAAGGUUUUAAUUCAUAAUAUUGCAUGCAUUACGGAAAUUACAUCUUUGUUUUUGAGACACAAAGAAACUGUAAUUAGAUAGAGACACUGCAUGGAUGCCAAACAUUUAGCAGGUUGAUAUAGUUCGGAAUGCGAAUUACACCGCGGAGGAAUACCAAAUCAGACCACAACAACAAAGCUGAUAUAGCGAGAGACAAGAAAAAGAUGUCUGCCUGCUUGUUCGUGCUAUCUCUGAAGUCGUAUUGAUAACAUGUGUAUUGCCCUUUUCUGAUGUCUAACGGCGCCUGCCUGUAAGGACCAGUGGAAUUGUUCCACAGGAUAUAUUUUAUGUGAAUUAUGUUGUAUACCUGCCAUCGGACAUUAAUUUUGGAGCGGUGACUGGUCAGAAAAUCAGGGAUACGUCAAGAUGCAGAAUAGCAUGCCGGGAAAAAUUACAUCAGACAAGGAGCUGAGCGACUUGCUUGACUUCAGUGCGAUGUUUUCCCCACCAACGGGUGAGGGUGGCCGAAAGAAUGGAAAUGUAGCUGCCUCUGAACAUCAUUCAGCAUCCAACUACAAGCAAGGAAUGAAAGGUGACUGGCUAAAUUAAGGCAUUUGUUGUACACAUUAGAUGUACACUGUAAGCACAUCCUCAAGAAACAUAAAUCAGGACCAAUCAAUUUGACACAAACUUAACAAAUUACAAAUUACAAACUUUGAAAUGGUAUGAAUAAAUUUAACUGUACACGUUUGUGCAUACAUUUGAUUGGAAUUGGAAAGACAGCAAGUAUAGUUAAUCUGUACUUGGAGCUGAACACAGACAAGGCAGUUUUUGAGCACUGGGGGCCAUGAGGGGUUAGAAUAAAUUUGCGGAGAGAUUUUCCUCAGUCACUUCCAUGCAGCUCUAAGGAGAGGUCAAAGUUCAAGGGUAGUCUGAAACUGUUCAUUGCUCUUUCAAUUUUCAAACACACCCCAG